AUGGUAGGAUAGAGGCCUACCAUGGUGGUAACGGGUAACGGGGUGUUAGGGCACGACACCGGAGAGGGAGCCUGAGAAACGGCUACCACAUCCAAGGAUGGCAGCAGGCGCGCAAAUUACCCAAUCCCGACACGGGGAGGUAGUGACAAUAAAUAACAAUACGGGGUUCUUUAGGAUCUCGUAAUUGGAAUGAGUACAAUUUAAAUCUCUUAACGAGGAACAAUUGGAGGGCAAGUCUGGUGCCAGCAGCCGCGGUAAUUCCAGCUCCAAUAGCGUAUAUNAAAGUUGUUGCAGUUAAAAAGCUCGUAGUUGAAUUUCGGGGUCAGUAGGUCGGUCGUGCCACUGGUAUGAACUGGUUUUACUGAUUCCUCCCUCUUGAAGAACUGUAAUGCCAUUAAUUUGGUGUUGCAGGGAAUCAGGACUGUUACUUUGAAAAAAUUAGAGUGUUUAAAGCAGGCUUUAGCUUGAAUACAUUAGCAUGGAAUAAUGAAAUAGGACGUUUGAUCCUAUUUUGUUGGUUUCUAGGAUUGACGUAAUGAUUAAUAGGGAUAGUUGGGGGCAUUAGUAUUCAAUUGUCAGAGGUGAAAUUCUUGGAUUUAUUGAAGGCUAACUACUGCGAAAGCAUUUGCCAAGGAUGUUUUCAUUAAUCAAGAACGAAAGUUAGGGGAUCGAAGACGAUCAGAUACCGUCGUAGUCUUAACCAUAAACUAUGCCGACUAGGGAUCGGAUGAUGUUAAUUUUUUAAUGACUCAUUCGGCGCCUUACGGGAAACCAAAGUGUUUGGG
rnacentral:rRNA from 1 species